AGAGUUUGAUCCUGGCUCAGGAUGAACGCUAGCGGGAGGCCUAACACAUGCAAGCCGAGCGGUAGAGAUYYUUCGGRAUCUUGAGAGCGGCGUACGGGUGCGGAACACGUGUGCAACCURCCUUUAUCAGGGGGAUAGCCUUUCGAAAGGAAGAUUAAUACCCCAUAAUAUAUUGAAUGGCAUCAUUURAUAUUGAAAACUCCGGUGGAUAGAGAUGGGCACGCGCAAGAUUAGAUAGUUGGUAGGGUAACGGCCUACCAAGUCARUGAUCUUUAGGGGGCCUGAGAGGGUGAUCCCCCACACUGGUACUGAGACACGGACCAGACUCCUACGGGAGGCAGCAGUGAGGAAUAUUGGACAAUGGGUGAGAGCCUGAUCCAGCCAUCCCGCGUGAAGGACGACGGCCCUAUGGGUUGUAAACUUCUUUUGUAUAGGGAUAAACCUWYYCWCGUGWGRRWAGCUGAAGGUACUAUACGAAUAAGCACCGGCUAACUCCGUGCCAGCAGCCGCGGUAAUACGGAGGGUGCRAGCGUUAUCCGGAUUUAUUGGGUUUAAAGGGUCCGUAGGCGGAUCUGUAAGUCAGUGGUGAAAUCUCAUAGCUUAACUAUGAAACUGCCAUUGAUACUGCAGGUCUUGAGUAAAGUAGAAGUGGCUGGAAUAAGUAGUGUAGCGGUGAAAUGCAUAGAUAUUACUUAGAACACCAAUUGCGAAGGCAGGUCACUAUGUUUUAACUGACGCUGAUGGACGAAAGCGUGGGGAGCGAACAGGAUUAGAUACCCUGGUAGUCC
rnacentral:rRNA from 1 species